GAAACACGGACCAAGGAGUUUAACAUGCACGCGAGUCAAUGGGUCGAGUCCAGACCCAGAGGCGCAAUAAAAGUGAAGGGCGGCUCCCGCCGUCCGCGUUGGGAUCCGUCGGCCUCGGCCGGCGGCGCACCAA
rnacentral:rRNA from 1 species